rnacentral:lncRNA from 1 species
CCUGGACCAGCUCAGAACAAUAACCCCCACCAAUGUCUCAGUCUCCGGAGAGGAUCCUCCUCUCACCAACAUGCCCCCAGAGCCCACCAGGGAGAAAUAGAGAACUGGCAGUUUUUUCCCUGAUCACAUCACACUGAAGUGGAGGGAAGGACUAUGGAACAUGGAACUGGAUGUGUGUAUAUGUGUAUCCAAGAAACAAGAAUUGCAAAGAUUUUAACGAUCACCAACAGUAUUGGGACUGCUAAUUGAAGAGGAACUGACAUCAAGCCAAAAAGUAAGAAAGAGAAAAUAUUUUUUUUAAAGAAAAUAAUCAGUUUUGGAUUAUUAGUCUUAGAAAAAAAACAAGGGAUUCUGUGUAUUCGAAGCAAAAAAAAAAAAAAAAAGGACCAGUAGUGAGAGAGAGAGAAAGAGACAGAGACAAGAGUUAG